GAUGAACGCUAGCUACAGGCUUAACACAUGCAAGUCGAGGGGAAACGACAUCGAAAGCUUGCUUUUGAUGGGCGUCGACCGGCGCACGGGUGAGUAACGCGUAUCCAACCUGCCCACAACUUGGGGAUAACCUUGCGAAAGUAAGACUAAUACCCAAUGAUAUCUCUAGAAGACAUCUGAAAGAGAUUAAAGAUUUAUCGGUGAUGGAUGGGGAUGCGUCUGAUUAGCUUGGUGGCGGGGUAACGGCCCACCAAGGCUACUGUCAGUAGGGGUUCUGAGAGGAAGGUCCCCCACAUUGGAACUGAGACACGGUCCAAACUCCUACGGGAGGCAGCAGUGAGGAAUAUUGGUCAAUGGGCGAGAGCCUGAACCAGCCAAGUAGCGUGCAGGAUGACGGCCCUAUGGGUUGUAAACUGCUUUUAUAAGGGAAUAAAGUGAGCCUCGUGAGGCUUUUUGCAUGUACCUUAUGAAUAAGGACCGGCUAAUUCCGUGCCAGCCGCCGCAGUAA
rnacentral:rRNA from 1 species